AUUCAUGGCUCAGAUUGAAACGCUGGCGGCGGGCGUAACACAUGCAAGUCGAGCGGAACCAGAGAGGUGCUUGCUCAUUUGCUGACGAGCGGCGGACGGGUGAGUAAUGCUUGGGAAACAUGCCUUGAGGUGGGGGACAACAGUUGGAAACGACUGCUAAUACCGCAUAAUGUCUACGGACCAAAGGGGGCUUCGGCUCUCGCCUUUAGAUUGGCCCAAGUGGGAUUAGCUAGUUGGUGAGGUAAUGGCUCACCAAGGCGACGAUCCCUAGCUGGUUUGAGAGGAUGAUCGGGCACACUGGGACUGAGACACGGCCCAGACUCCUACGGGAGGCAGCAGUGGGGAAUAUUGCACAAUGGGCGCAAGCCUGAUGCAGCCAUGCCGACGUGUGUGAAGAAGGCCUUCGGGUUGUAAAGCACUUUCAGUCCUGAGGAAAGGAAAGUCGUUAAUACCGGCUAGCUGGACGUUACUGACAGAAGAAGCUCCGGCAAUCUCCG
rnacentral:rRNA from 1 species